AUUGAACGCUGGCGGUAUGCUUAACACAUGCAAGUCGAACGAUGAGAAAGAGCUUGCUCUUUCGAUUAGUGGCGGACGGGUGCGUAACGCGUAGGAAUCUACCUAUUAGUGGGGGACAACUUAGGGAAACUUAAGCUAAUACCGCAUACGCCCUACAGGGGAAAGAAGGGGAUCGCAAGACCUUUUGCUAAUAGAUGAGCCUGCGUAGAAUUAGCUAGUUGGUGGGGUAAAAGCUCACCAAGGCGACGAUCCUUAACUGGUUUGAGAGAAUGAUCAGUCACACUGGAACUGAGACACGGUGCAGACUCCUACGGGAGGCAGCAGUGGGGAAUAUUGGACAAUGGGCGAAAGCCUGAUCCAGCAAUACCGCGUGUGUGAAGAAGGCCUUAGGGUUGUAAAGCUCUUUCGCAAGGGAAGAAAACUUAUCCUCUAACAUAGGGUGAGGUUGACGGUACCUUGAUAAGAAGCACCGGCUAACUACGUGCCAGCAGCCGCAGUAAGAC
rnacentral:rRNA from 1 species